rnacentral:lncRNA from 1 species
CAGAGACAUAUAAUACAAGAGAUUGGCAACUCUAGUAGAGUCUAUAUAACGGCCAAUGAAAUCACUUGGCCACCGGAAGUGCUUGGGAUGAUGAUGUGACCUGGGACGAAGAUGAGCAAAUUUCGCCAUUGUUGUAAAGCGAGACGAUACGCUUAAAGAUUUUUUUUAUCGUUUAUGUCCAUUGUUUUCACAGCUAAAGCAUGUAAGUAUAUUCAAAAGAUACAUUUUACUAAUUCUACCAAUUUGUUUAUACUAUAAUGUGCUGAAAUGAUGAUAAUAAUCAAAUGCAGACUAAUUUAAAGUCGGUC